rnacentral:lncRNA from 1 species
GCCCAUUCGGCCGAAUUAGCCAUGUCAAAUGGCUUGCUCCCAUCCCCACUCAGCAAACUUCCUGCAAAUUAGCACAAACCCACAAAUUUACACGCACGGUACACACAAACUACUACAUAUUCCUAAAAUCAUAUGAUAUUAAUUGACCUAUACAGCGAUCUUUGAUGGCAGAAGGCGUGGCGAUGCUCUAUUCGAUCUGGGUCAUUUGGCCUAUCUUUUCUUGGAGGGUCAUUCGGGAAAGGAGAUCUUUGUUUGUGAAAUGAGGUCCAAAGCUAACUCAAGAUCAUCAUCAUGAAUCGCGUCCACAAGUUGCUGAGAGAUCAAUUUCGCUUCAUAGCCGGAUCUCUACUCGUUUUUCGACAGUUUAAGUUGCUGAGACAUCAAUUCGGCUUCGUAGCCGGAUCUCAAUCUCACCGGAAAUACUCGUUUUUCGGCUAGGAAACUGCCGCCAAUAGUGGUGGUGGUGAAGACUACCAUGAGUGAAAACGAGAGAGAGAGAGAGAGAG